rnacentral:rRNA from 1 species
AACGAACGCUGGCGGCAGGCUUAACACAUGCAAGUCGAAAGCCCCGCAAGGGGAGUGGCAGACGGGUGAGUAACGCGUGGGAAUCUACCCAGAUCUACGGAACAACAGUUGGAAACGACUGCUAAUACCGUAUACGCCCUACGGGGGAAAGAUUUAUCGGAUUUGGAUGAGCCCGCGUUGGAUUAGCUAGUUGGUGGGGUAAUGGCCUACCAAGGCGACGAUCCAUAGCUGGUCUGAGAGGAUGAUCAGCCACACUGGGACUGAGACACGGCCCAGACUCCUACGGGAGGCAGCAGUGGGGAAUAUUGGACAAUGGGCGCAAGCCUGAUCCAGCCAUGCCGCGUGAGUGAUGAAGGCCUUAGGGUUGUAAAGCUCUCUCACCGAUGAAGAUAAUGACGGUAGUCGGAGAAGAAGCCCCGGCUAACUUCGUGCCAGCCGCCGCCGUAAAAC